CCCAGCUGUGGACUCGGUCUAGGUUGCAUUGUACCUAGGCAAGUGUUACAGUGCUGGGAGAAAAGCAGCUACUAGCUGGUGGGCAUUUUGGGCCUGGUUAAUGCCAAAUUCGUUAACCAUACUCGUGUGCCAGCAUA
rnacentral:snoRNA from 1 species